rnacentral:lncRNA from 1 species
GCAUCUAAGAACCAUACUACCAGCAGAUCAUGCUCUCCCUGAGCAACAGCAGCACCCCCUCCAUCCCCUCUCCAGCCAACUUCCUGGGUCUAUGCAAGGGACCACCUGCCUUCAGAAAAGGAUUCAGGCCUUGGUGCUAUGCUGAAGAUUACAUGUGGCCUUCUGUGACAUGUGGAAAGAAACUGGGGACCUUCUGUUUCCCAUCUAGUCUUCAGAUUCUGAAGCAAACAGAAUGUUAUCUGACUGACACAAAGCAGAGCUACGUUUUGACAGAAGUCACCUGCAUCUUGUUAAUAUAUUCAUGUACACACGUUCAGGCCAGUUCUGUCUCAAAUGAAUUAAAUUCCUGGAGUCCCACUGAUGACAUGAAGAAGGAAAAUGACCUGAAAUCACAUGUUGAACAGUUCCAAAUAGAGAAAACUGGAUGUAUCCAUCUGGGAGAAAGGAGAGCAAAACAAAGUCUGUUGGUAGAAGUCUCAAAUAUUAUGGUGUGUUAAUGAUCAUAAAAGCAUCAGCUUCUCCCCUUUCCUCAUUUCAUCAUUUUUCUGAUCUGGGAGGAGAGCUGCUUUGUCUUGUAAUGAUCAAAGGAAGAGGAGAGUGCCUGAUGGUAUCAGGAUUUUCACAGUGUGCCAACAUUAGUAAAGAAAAAGAUGGGGAGGAAGGAAAAAGUGAGUUAUAAAAUUACUUUUAUUUCAAGAUAUGCUGUUUAUUUCAGGAACAUGUUGGUAUGCAUUUGAAU